rnacentral:lncRNA from 1 species
AGGGUGGAGAGCCCUCAAUCGAACCAUGACUCCACCCCUGGAAGAUCCCUGCCCCCAUUCUGCCAGAGGACCCUAGAGACUCGAAGUCGGGAGGAUUUCCUGGACCGGAGACUCCAGGAGAUGAACCGGCGAAUCGAAGAACUCCGCCAUGCUCCCCCCACUUAUGGUGAGGAUAUUUGUACGGACCCUCCCUUCUCUCAAAUGAUC